GCCAACGUGGUGGCGGACAAGGUGAACCACCUGGUGGAGAAGGUGAGGAGGGGAGGGGAAGGAAGUGGGAGGGAGGGGAGGGGAACGAAGUGGGAGGGAGGGGAGGAGGGCAAGGGACAGGGAGGGGAGGAGGGGGAGGAACUGGGAGGGGAGGAGGGCAAGGAAGUGGGACAGGAGGAGGGCAAGGAAGUGGAGGGGAGGAGGGGAAGGAGCGAGGGGAGGGGAAAGAGGGCAAGGAAGGGGGAGGUGAGGAGGUGAGGGGAAGGAGCGAGGGGAGUGGAGGGUAAAACGGGUGGGUGGGAGGCAUGGGAAGGAGGAGGCAGGGAGCGAGGGGACGCGCCGAUGGAUAGAGGCAAGGAGGGCGACAAGGAAGGAGUAUGGAAAGCAAGGAGGGAGGUAGGAAAAGCGUGCGUGGUGUGAGGGGAGAGUGACAUGGGCAGAGCCGGCAUGUCAGCAGGCAUUGUGGUUUCCUUGGAGAGCUGGGGUGGACCCUCAUUCCCUCUGGAAUGCGCCUCUGCCCUGGCAGUUCUGACACGUGGCAUAACCGACCACUGCUGACGACCACGCACGCCUUUGUGUGUCACACACGCACACGCACACGCAGGUGGAGCAGGCAGUGGGCGCCGUUGUGCAUGCCAUCAUCCCCGGCCACCACUCGGAGUCGAAGCCCAAGGCCCACUAAGCAACCAGAUGGCGUGUGCGCAAGCAAACGGCAUGUGCGUGUAUAUGGCCGUUGGCUGCAGUGCCGCACCCCGGGGCUAUAUGGGGUUGUGAGGGGUGGCCGGCAAUGGAUGAAUUGCAGUAAGUACUUGUGACCCACAUGCGAAUGCGUGCGGAUGGUUCUUGAGCUGUGACUUGUAAGGUUGAAGGACACAUGCAGAGGGGCAGGAGAUGAAGGUGUUGGUGUGAUUUUGUCAGGGCAUAAUGGCAUGCACGUUUUGAGCUUACUUGCGAUGGUGGAAGGCUAUGUCAACGGGCAUCAGACGUUUUGCGCAGUCAGCGGCGGCUGGGCUUGUGCGCUGUGCGGCGCAGUCAGCUGCUGCUGUUUCCUGGCUGCUGGCUUGGUCGAGCAGGUGCAGCGAGGCGGGUGUUUGACUGCGUCGUGCAUUGACCGGAAAUGUAGGGCGCGUUGCGCUCUGUUGCACGGUGUUUUGUGGGGUGCUGUGACUUGGAUCACCCGCGCACACGCCCUUGGGUUGCAUGGACCGCGCACCUUGACGCACAAGCCUUGCUGCACGUUGCUGCCGAGUUCACCGGUAGCGAUGCUUCCGCCGGCAAAGCCUGUUUGAAUGCAAAGCUGCAACACUGGCUGUGUGCUGAGGUGAAAACUGGGGAGGAGGCGGUGCUGCGUGCUGAGUGUGGACGUACGCGCGCGUGGUGGUGUGAGUGGAG
rnacentral:lncRNA from 1 species